rnacentral:rRNA from 1 species
AGUGAACGCUGGCGGCAGGCCUAACACAUGCAAGUCGAACGGCAGCACAGUAAGAUCUUGCUCUUACCGUUAGCGAGUGGCGGACGGGUGAGGCGUACAUCGCAAUCUACUUUUUCGGGGAUGAUAACGGAGAACAACUGACACUAAUACCGCAUACGACCUACGGGUUAAAGCAGUGGAUCUUGGCACCUUGGGUGACUCAAUGAGCCGAUGUCGGAUUAGCUAGUUGGCUUGGUAAAGGCCCACCAAGGCGACGAUCCGUAGCUGGCCUGAGAGGAUGAUCAGCCACACUGGAACUGAGACACGGUCCAGACUCCUACGGGAGGCAGCAGUGGGGAAUAUUGGGCAAUGGGCGAAAGCCUGAUGCAGCAAUGCCGCGUGAGUGAAGAAGGCCUUCGGGUUGUAAAGCCCUUUUGUUAGGGAAGAAAAGAAGCAGAUUAAUCCAUCGCUGUUCUGACGGUACCCAAUGAGUAAGCACCGGCUAACUUCGUG